AGCCAUCAGUUCUCGGUUAACCUGUCAAUAACAACCAAAAAAUAAUCCAUGCUUCAAUUUGCACACCAUUUACGUGCUUAAAGACAAUGGAGCAGAAAAGUUAAAAUACCAUUUACUCAUUUGAUUCAAUGCAGUUCUUAGAUUUCAAGACUAAUACUAGUUCUAGUUGCUUCUUGGCUUAAUCAUAACAUCAUACUCUUGCAACAGCUGCAGCGAAGAUGAGGUUGAUUUCUGAAUGAAAAAGGAGAGAGAAGCAGGAAGGGAUAGAGGGGCCUUAAUAUGAAAUGCGGUUUUCAAGAGGCUUUACAGCCACAAAAUUAGGUUUUUGAGCCAAUGAGCCAAGGCCUUGGUAUAACACGCCUGACUCAUUAAAGCCAGUAUUAAGGCCUCAUCAAUUUCAAGUUUUGAUCAGAUAGAAAACAAGGCACGCCUGCAUACUGUAAGUCUGUAAUGAGCAAUUAUAUGUAUCUAUAUCAC
rnacentral:misc_RNA from 1 species